rnacentral:rRNA from 1 species
AAAGCUCAAAUUUAAAAUCUGGCGGUUUCACCGUCCGAGUUGUAAACUAGAGAAGUGUUACCCGCGUUGGACCGUGUACAAGUCUCCUGGAAUGGAGCGUCAUAGAGGGUGAGAAUCCCGUCUUUGACACGGACUGCCAGGGCUUUGUGGUACGCUCUCAAAGAGUCGAGUUGUUUGGGAAUGCAGCUCAAAAUGGGUGGUAAAUUCCAUCUAAAGCUAAAUAUUGGCGAGAGACCGAUAGCGAA